rnacentral:rRNA from 1 species
UACAGAGGAUGCAAGCGUUAUCCGGAAUGAUUGGGCGUAAAGCGUCUGUAGGUGGCUUUUUAAGUCCGCCGUCAAAUCCCAGGGCUCAACUCUGGACAGGCGGUGGAAACUACCAAGCUGGAGUACGGUAGGGGCAGAGGGAAUUUCCGGUGGAGCGGUGAAAUGCGUAGAGAUCCGGAGGAACACCGACGGCGCAGGCAGCGUCCUGGCCGCUUGCUGACACUGAGGCACGAAAGCUGGGGGAGCAAACAGG